rnacentral:rRNA from 1 species
AUUGAACGCUGGCGGCAUGCUUUACACAUGCAAGUCGAACGGUAACAGGCCGCAAGGUGCUGACGAGUGGCGAACGGGUGAGUAAUGCAUCGGAACGUGCCCAGUCGUGGGGGAUAACUGCUCGAAAGAGCAGCUAAUACCGCAUACGAUCUAUGGAUGAAAGCGGGGGGACCGUAAGGCCUCGCGCGAUUGCAGCGGCCGAUGUCAGAUUAGGUAGUUGGUGGGGUAAAGGCUCACCAAGCCAACGAUCUGUAGCUGGUCUGAGAGGACGACCAGCCACACUGGGACUGAGACACGGCCCAGACUCCUACGGGAGGCAGCAGUGGGGAAUUUUGGACAAUGGGGGCAACCCUGAUCCAGCAAUGCCGCGUGCAGGAAGAAGGCCUUCGGAUUGUAAACUGCUUUUGUACGGAACGAAACGGUCUGGGUUAAUACCCUGGGCUAAUGACGGUACCGUAAGAAUAAGCACCGGCUAACUACGUGCCAGCCGCCGCAGUAAAAC